rnacentral:rRNA from 1 species
GACGAACGCUGGCGGCGUGCUUAACACAUGCAAGUCGAACGGAAAGGCCCUGCUUUUGUGGGGUGCUCGAGUUGCGAACGGGUGAGUAACACGUGAGUUACCUGCCCUUGACUUUGGGAUAACUUCAGGACACUUGGGCUAAUACCUGAUAGGAGCUCCUGCUUCUUGGUGGGGGUUGGAUAGUUUCGGCGGUUGGGGAUGGACUCGCGGCUUAUCAGCUUGUUGGUGGGGUAGUGGCUUACCAAGGCUUUGACGGGUAGCCGGCCUGGGAGGGUCACCGGACAAAAUGCGAUAGAGAUACGACGCAGACUCGAACGGGACGGAGAAGUGGGGAAGAAAAGACAGUAGAGGGAAGGGUAAUGGAGCAAAGCCGUGUAGGGGAUGACGGCCAGGAGUUAGUAAACCGCAUUUGCAUGUGACGAGGCGUGAAUGACAGUAAUGGGUAAAGAAGCACCGGCUAACUAAGUG